ensembl:lncRNA
CUAAUUUUAUGUUGAAAUGAAGCCAUAGGUUACAAAGAUGGAAACAUGCAAUAGUAACUGAUAUCAGAGCUUUUUCUUUUGCCCUGAUUAGGUAAAGUAUAGAGGAAUGUACUUUAUGAAUCUAUGGAUAUAGUUAUUCACUUGUUUUUCUUCAUUUUCUUCAUUUAGAUUCAGAGCAGCAUGGUUUCCAAAGAUGCUAGAUAUCCCCUAAACCUAAUAAAGUCAGCUGAAGCUCCAGAUUUGCUGAGAUGACUGCUUCCGCAGAGCACUGCUCACUGGAGUGCUCUUUCUCACCAUGGUGGAAGUAGACUUGUGCCCUGGUUACCCUGGGCCUUGGCUAUUGGUGGCCCCUGCAACUGUGAGACUGGAGGAGGGUAAGCUGGCUCCCUGGGUGGCAGCUGUGCUAAUGCCAAGAUAAAACCAAAUGCUAUUACCUCCAUCCGUGUAGUUACCAGGGGACAACAGUAUAGCCCCCAAGCUCUUCUAAAUGGAAUUGAGUUGAGUCUUCUCUGAGAUAAAGCAAUCGGAAUGGAGGAGAAUCACCAAGUCACCUGCUCCUCAGAUCAGAAGGUGAUUGUGGCUUUGAGUCGAUAUUGAACAGCCACAGCACUGCCUGGUCAGAAAGAGCAAGUGUACUAGCCUUUUACUUCUUAAAGAUCUCGACUCUCAUCAAGUGUCAAGGUUUGAAACCUGAAGGAGAAUGCUGUUGCUUUACUGUGGAUAUCACAUCACCAGCUGCCUUUCCACAUAAAGUGGUAGAUUUCAUCAUAGCAUCUCUUCUGAAGAAUCCAGGAGCAGAGUAUCAAGGCAAUACAGGUGAGUGAUACAGUGACAGUCUCAGUGAUGGAAAGCACUCCAUGUACUUUGUCCUAAGAAAGGAACUUGAUUUCUUCAUUUUUGUGAAUUUAUACACAUAAUCACUUUUGAAAUUGAAAAUAAAAAUGUGCUUAAAUAGGAAUAAUGCA